UACGGAGGGUGCAAGCGUUGUUCGGAUUUAUUGGGCGUAAAGCGCGUGUAGGCGGUUUCUUAAGUCUGAUGUGAAAGCCCUGGGCUCAACCCAGGAAGUGCAUUGGAUACUGGGAGACUUGAAUACGGGAGAGGGUAGUGGAAUUCCUAGUGUAGGAGUGAAAUCCGUAGAUAUCGGGAGGAACACCGGUGGCGAAGGCGGCGACCUGGGUCGACACUGACGCUGAGGCGCGAAAGCGUGGGGAGCAAACAGG
rnacentral:rRNA from 1 species